AGUGAACGCUGGCGGUAGGCCUAACACAUGCAAGUCGAACGGCAGCACAGUAAGAGCUUGCUCUUACGGGUGGCGAGUGGCGGACGGGUGAGGAAUACAUCGGAAUCUACUUUUUCGUGGGGGAUAACGUAGGGAAACUUACGCUAAUACCGCAUACGACCUACGGGUGAAAGCAGGGGAUCUUCGGACCUUGCGCGAUUGAAUGAGCCGAUGUCGGAUUAGCUAGUUGGCGGGGUAAAGGCCCACCAAGGCGACGAUCCGUAGCUGGUCUGAGAGGAUGAUCGGCCACACUGGAACUGAGACACGGUCCAGACUCCUACGGGAGGCAGCAGUGGGGAAUAUUGGACAAUGGGCGCAAGCCUGAUCCAGCCAUACCGCGUGGGUGAAGAAGGCCUUCGGGUUGUAAAGCCCUUUUGUUGGGAAGGAAAAGCAGCAGGUUAAUACCCCGCUGUUCUGACGGUACCCAAAGAAUAAGCACCGGCUAACUUCGUG
rnacentral:rRNA from 1 species